AUUAUAUUUUGAUUUUAACUUAAAGUUUCCUCUUUUUCACAGAUAACUAAUACUUUCUCUUUCUGUUCUUAUCUUUUCAGAUUGGUGACUGCCUACGUUUGGAUUGAACGAAAGGUAAGAUUGAGACCUGAUAUUUUCUUUUUCUGUAGGGGUACCCUCAACUAGGUCCACACUUUGGUCAGAUUGUUGGAUACGAUAUUAUUUCAAAUGCAUUUAGAUGUGUUUGAUCGUGUCUCCCCGCUUCCAGACUCUAACGUCGUAAAUCGAUGACUGACAGCUCUGCGACCUUGUGUACAACACUCUUCUGCCUUGUGCCAUAGUUGCGUAUGGGAAUAUAAAGGAAGAGUGCACAAAUGGUCAAGGACAGUCACAACGUGACUGCUCAGGAAUCGUAGACAUAUUGUUAGAGUCGGUAAAUCUGGGAUGCUUCCGUUCGUAAUCCAACGAAUUCUUUCUGACCGCUGUUGGUGUCUAGGCGAGUGGCCUCCUAUGGUUGCAAGAAAAAAUUUUCCAUGGUCUCAAUAAUCAAAAGACAUCUAGAGAAGUUACUCAAAUUGGAUAUUGCAUUCACAAAAAGACAUUUAUUACCUACAUGCGACUUAAUUUGCCUCUCCUGUGAAACCAGGAAAUUAUAUUUGAUGGUAAGUUCGAUUAAUCCUGUUCUCCUUUUUCUUUCUCCAGCAGUUGUACCAUCGACUAGACCUUCAGCUUUUGUCAGAAUGUCGGAUACGAUGUUGUGCAAAUGCACUGACGUGUAUUUGUUCUUUUUGUCUUUUGGCUUCCAGACUCUAGUGUCGUAAGUCGGGUGAAGGACGGAUCUGCGACCUCGUGUACAACAGUUCCCUGGCCCGUGCCAAAGAGCGAACGGCUACUGCUUCACCGCGAAAGGGGAAUUGCACUAAUGGUCAAAGACAGUCACCAGUUGACUGCUCCGGAUGCGCAGACAUCAACUAGAGUCGGUAAACCCAGAGUGCUUUAAUUCGUACUCUGACUUCACAAUUCUGACAUCUGCUGUUAGAGCCUAGAAGAUUGGACUCCUGUUCGGAUGGAAAAAAAAACAGGGUUCCGAACUUCAUCAAAUGUUCUAGCCGAUACUUGUGGUGGGACUACGGUCGGCGCUUUAGAAAUGAACGUAAGUUGUAGUUUUAAUUCUAUUUCGUAGUUUUCGUAAUUUUGCUCUGGAAAAUGAGAAAAAUUAUGAGAACCCUAUUUAUUUAUAAACUUAAAUUU